rnacentral:lncRNA from 1 species
GUUAUUUAUCUGGAAGUAGACCACAAGACAGCUUCAGAUCAUCUGAGAGAGACAACAGUAGCUAAGCCACGUUCCAAUAGGAAUUUGUCACCGGUCAUCUGUACCCUCAGAGAACACGCUCUACGUGGGAUCCCACUCCACCCACGGCUCAGCUGUUAGUUUCUGCUUUGUAACUUGUCUCCGUCCCCGUUUUCUGCCCCCCAGCAACUGGCCAGGAUGAUUACUCAAGGAGAGAGAUAUUGGAUCAAAGCUGGGCAAACCUAAUUAUCUUUCUUGGAAAAAUGACCCAGAAAAGAGCCAC